rnacentral:lncRNA from 1 species
AUGCUAGAUCCGCUACAAAUACAGGGAGUCCACUGUUCACAUGGACAGAGUCUCCCCUGUAUUUGCACGGCGUCGCACAAGUACAGAUACAACCAUAACGUAUGAACAUUCAUAUUCAUUCACCAUUCACAUCCACAUUCAUUUCAUCAUAAAUAUUCAUAAAUCCACAUCUAUUCGUUUAAAAUGUUUCCUACCCGGAAACUCAUUUUGAAACACUAGCAACCAGAAAAACAAGAAAAUCCUUUUUAAAACCGUUUCCCACACGGAAAUAUUUUUCUUUUAAAACACGCUGCCACGAGGGGUAGAAAAUUAUUUUUAACUCAUAAAACUCCGUAAACUUUAUUACAUUCAUAAACCAUAUGAACGAAAAUAAAAGGGCUUUUUUUGCAUUUAGCCCCUUGGCAAAUUUUUAUUUU